AGUGCAAUUGCUGGGUCAUAUUGUAGUUCUGAUUUUUUGAGGAACCUCCAUGCUGUUUUCCAGAGUGGCUGCAUCAGUUUGCAUUCCCACCAGCAGU
rnacentral:pre_miRNA from 1 species